rnacentral:rRNA from 1 species
GAUGAACGCUGGCGGCGUGCCUAAUACAUGCAAGUCGAACGCGAGAGGAGGGAGCUUGCUCCCUCUGAUCGAGUGGCGGACGGGUGAGUAACACGUAGGCAACCUGCCCAUCAGCCGGGGAUAACUGCGGGAAACCGUGGCUAAUACCGGAUAAUCCUCUCCACCGCGGGGUGGGGAGUUGAAAGACGGUUUCGGCUGUCGCUGAUGGAUGGGCCUGCGGCGCAUUAGCUGGUUGGCGGGGUAACGGCCCACCAAGGCAACGAUGCGGAGCCGACCUGAGAGUGUGAUCGGCCACAGUGGGACUGAGACACUGCCCAGACUCCUACGGGAGGCAGCAGUAGGGAAUCUUCCGCAAUGGACGCAAGUCUGACGGAGCAACGCCGCGUGAGUGAAGAAGGGUUUCGGCUCGUAAAACUCUGUUGUUAAGGAAGAACGCCAGGUAGAGUAACUGCUACCUGUGUGACGGUACUUAACCAGAAAGCCACGGCUAACUACGUGCCAGCAGCCGCGGUAA